rnacentral:rRNA from 1 species
AAGGAGUCUAGUAAAUGAGCGAGUCUAAGGUAGCCUCCGAGCACCGCAGGCGCUGCAAAGACUCCGUAGCGACGAUAGGGGCCUAGACAGCCUCCCGCAGUCGCGAAGCGGUCUCGUCCUCGCGACCCCCCGCAAGAGAAGUCGCGCGAGGGAAGUCGUCCUCCAAGCUCACGUGCUAGCACCCGAAAGAUGGUAAACUAUGCUUGACGAGAACCGAGUUAGAAGAAACCCUGAUGUAAGUUCGUCAUCGAUUCUGACGUGCAAAUCGAUCGUCUGAGUUACGUAUAAGCUCGCGCCGCCUCCUAGCUGGUAGCAUGUGGUAAAGCUAAUGAGUAGAAGUAUUGGGACCGAAACGGCCUCAACCUAUUCUCCAACUUUCAAUGUUUGUGAGAUCUGGCGGCCUGCGGCGACGCACGGCCGCGCGCCCGUCGCGCAAUGACGCGGUAAGGUAAGCAGAAACGGCGAACCAAAUGCGGAGCUAAAGCGUCAAAAUCAACGCUCAUGG